rnacentral:rRNA from 1 species
CCUACGGGAGGCAGCAGUGAGGAAUAUUGGUCAAUGGGCGAGAGCCUGAACCAGCCAAGUCGCGUGAAGGAUGACGGUCCUACGGGUUGUAAACCUCUUUUGUCAGGGAGCAAUUGAGUCCACGUGUGGGCUUAGCGAGAGUACCUGCAGAAAAAGCAUCGGCUAACUCCGUGCCAGCAGCCGCGGUAAUACGGAGGAUGCGAGCGUUAUCCGGAUUUAUUGGGUUUAAAGGGUGCGUAGGCGGAAUAUCAAGUCAGCGGUAAAAAUUCGGGGCUCAACCCCGUCGUGCCGUUGAAACUGAUGUUCUUGAGUGGGCGAGAAGUAUGCGGAAUGCGUGGUGUAGCGGUGAAAUGCAUAGAUAUCACGCAGAACUCCGAUUGCGAAGGCAGCAUACCGGCGCCCGACUGACGCUGAAGCACGAAAGCGUGGGGAUCGAACAGGAUUAGAUACCCUUGUAGUC